rnacentral:lncRNA from 1 species
AUUUAUUUUUCAUUUUUGUAAUCUAUCAUACGAUUGGUUGUUCUUGUGCAUGUUUAAAACCGGAAGUCUUAUAUAUGACUAAAAGUCAGUCUGAUAACGAAAACAAUAUCCGGACACCUAUUUUGUCGUUUUUCUCCCAAAAUAACUCAAUCUGAAUAAUCAUAAGGAUGGAUGACAAAUGCAACUAUGCAUGUUACCUAAAGAACACAGAGUCAUGAUGAUUAAUUUAUUGUGGAAGGAAGAGAAUCGACACACAAAAUGAGGUCUUCUCGUUUAAUAGUAUAGAU